rnacentral:rRNA from 1 species
GAUCCCUAGCUGGUCUGAGAGGAUGACCAGCCACACUGGAACUGAGACACGGUCCAGACUCCUACGGGAGGCAGCAGUGGGGAAUAUUGCACAAUGGGCGCAAGCCUGAUGCAGCCAUGCCGCGUGUGUGAAGAAGGCCUUCGGGUUGUAAAGCACUUUCAGCGAGGAGGAAGGUGGUGAGCUUAAUACGCUCAUCAAUUGACGUUACUCGCAGAAGAAGCACCGGCUAACUCCGUGCCAGCAGCCGCGGUAAUACGGAGGGUGCAAGCGUUAAUCGGAAUUACUGGGCGUAAAGCGCACGCAGGCGGUUUGUUAAGUCAGAUGUGAAAUCCCCGGGCUCAACCUGGGAACUGCAUUUGAAACUGGCAAGCUAGAGUCUCGUAGAGGGGGGUAGAAUUCCAGGUGUAGCGGUGAAAUGCGUAGAGAUCUGGAGGAAUACCGGUGGCGAAGGCGGCCCCCUGGACGAAGACUG